rnacentral:misc_RNA from 1 species
CGCACAUUGCGCCCCUUGGUAUUCCGGGGGGCAUGCCUGUUCGAGCGUCAUUGCAACCCUCAAGCUUUGCUUGGUAUUGGGCGUUCGCUUCCCCGUUUCGGGGGAGGCGCGCCUGUAAAUUAGUGGCGGCCCCGGGGGGACCUCAAGCGUAGUAGAACCUUUUCGCUUGGGCGGUGCCACCCGGGGCCCGGCCGUCAACCUCUCCAUCGAUCAAUGAUUGACCUCGGAUCAGGCAGGGAUACCCGCUGAACUUAA